UUUGAAGGACUCGAGGCCGUGGAGAAGUUCUACAAGGCAUAUGCACAUCAAUCAGGUUUUGGCGUUCGUAUCAGACAACAGAAAAAGAUUGAGAAUAAGGUGGUCCGAACUAAGCGUUUCAUGUGUAAUAGAGAAGGAUUCAAGUCAAAAGAUAUUAAGGAGAUUAAUGACCCCUUGAGGAAAAGACGUAAGCAGACAAACACGCGAUGCGGUUGUGAUGCCCAUAUAUUUGUUAGACUUUGUGGGGAGAACACCUACAAGAUAGACUCAUCGAUUGAGCAUCAUGUUCAUGGUCUUGUAUCACCAGAUAAGUGUCAUUUGAUCAGAUCCAAUCGUAGAGUUAGUGAGAGGGCAAAGAAUACUUUAUACACAUGUCAUAAGGCAAGCAUUGGAACCUCCUAG
rnacentral:rRNA from 1 species